UACAGAGGUCCCAAGCGUUGUUCGGAUUCACUGGGCGUAAAGGGUGCGUAGGUGGCGAGGUAAGUCGGAUGUGAAAUCUCCGAGCUCAACUCGGAAAUGGCAUUGGAAACUACCUUGCUCGAGGGUCGGAGGGGGGACUGGAAUACUUGGUGUAGCAGUGAAAUGCGUAGAUAUCAAGUGGAACACCAGUGGCGAAGGCGGCUUCCUGGACCAAUACUGACGAUCAGGUGCGAAAGCGUGGGGAGCAAACAGG
rnacentral:rRNA from 1 species